rnacentral:piRNA from 1 species
UCCAUGUUCUGCUUCUUGGAAGCAAGCCACU